GAUGAACGCUGGCGGCGUGCCUAAUACAUGCAAGUCGAGCGAACGGACGAGAAGCUUGCUUCUCUGAUGUUAGCGGCGGACGGGUGAGUAACACGUGGAUAACCUACCUAUAAGACUGGGAUAACUUCGGGAAACCGGAGCUAAUACCGGAUAAUAUUUUGAACCGCAUGGUUCAAAAGUGAAAGACGGUCUUGCUGUCACUUAUAGAUGGAUCCGCGCUGCAUUAGCUAGUUGGUAAGGUAACGGCUUACCAAGGCAACGAUGCAUAGCCGACCUGAGAGGGUGAUCGGCCACACUGGAACUGAGACACGGUCCAGACUCCUACGGGAGGCAGCAGUAGGGAAUCUUCCGCAAUGGGCGAAAGCCUGACGGAGCAACGCCGCGUGAGUGAUGAAGGUCUUCGGAUCGUAAAACUCUGUUAUUAGGGAAGAACAUAUGUGUAAGUAACUGUGCACAUCUUGACGGUACCUAAUCAGAAAGCCACGGCUAACUACGUGCCAGCAGCCGCGGUAAUACGUAGGUGGCAAGCGUUAUCCGGAAUUAUUGGGCGUAAAGCGCGCGUAGGCGGUUUUUUAAGUCUGAUGUGAAAGCCCACGGCUCAACCGUGGAGGGUCAUUGGAAACUGGAAAACUUGAGUGCAGAAGAGGAAAGUGGAACUCCAUGUGUAGCGGUGAAAUGCGUAGAGAUAUGGAGGAACACCAGUGGCGAAGGCGACUUUCUGGUCUGUAACUGACGCUGAUGUGCGAAAGCGUGGGGAUCAAACAGGAUUAGAUACCCUGGUAGUCCACGCCGUAAACGAUGAGUGCUAAGUGUUAGGGGGUUUCCGCCCCUUAGUGCUGCAGCUAACGCAUUAAGCACUCCGCCUGGGGAGUACGACCGCAAGGUUGAAACUCAAAGGAAUUGACGGGGACCCGCACAAGCGGUGGAGCAUGUGGUUUAAUUCGAAGCAACGCGAAGAACCUUACCAAAUCUUGACAUCCUUUGACAACUCUAGAGAUAGAGCUUUCCCCUUCGGGGGACAAAGUGACAGGUGGUGCAUGGUUGUCGUCAGCUCGUGUCGUGAGAUGUUGGGUUAAGUCCCGCAACGAGCGCAACCCUUAAGCUUAGUUGCCAUCAUUAAGUUGGGCACUCUAAGUUGACUGCCGGUGACAAACCGGAGGAAGGUGGGGAUGACGUCAAAUCAUCAUGCCCCUUAUGAUUUGGGCUACACACGUGCUACAAUGGACAAUACAAAGGGCAGCGAAACCGCGAGGUCAAGCAAAUCCCAUAAAGUUGUUCUCAGUUCGGAUUGUAGUCUGCAACUCGACUACAUGAAGCUGGAAUCGCUAGUAAUCGUAGAUCAGCAUGCUACGGUGAAUACGUUCCCGGGUCU
rnacentral:rRNA from 1 species